UACGUAGGGUGCGAGCGUUAAUCGGAAUUACUGGGCGUAAAGCGUGCGCAGGCGGCGCGUUAAGACAGGUGUGAAGCCCCGAGCUUAACUUGGGAAUUGCGCUUGUGACUGGCGUGCUGGAGUGUGGCAGAGGGAGGUGGAAUUCCACGUGUAGCAGUGAAAUGCGUAGAUAUUGGGAGGAACACCAGUGGCGAAGGCGGCUACCUGGACCGGUUCUGACGCUGAUGCGCGAAAGCGUGGGUAGCAAACAGG
rnacentral:rRNA from 1 species